UACAGAGGGGGCAAGCGUUGUUCGGAAUUACUGGGCGUAAAGGGCGCGUAGGUGGCCUUCUAAGUUGAACGUGAAAUCCCUGGGCUCAACCCAGGAACUGCGUCCAAGACUGGGAGGCUUGAAUCCGGGAGAGGGAUGCGGAAUUCCAGGUGUAGCGGUGAAAUGCGUAGAUAUCUGGAGGAACACCGGUGGCGAAGGCGGCAUCCUGGACCGGGAUUGACGCUGAGGCGCGAAAGCCAGGGGAGCAAACGGG
rnacentral:rRNA from 1 species